rnacentral:rRNA from 1 species
UGGGGAAUAUUGGGCAAUGGGGGCAACCCUGACCCAGCAACGCCGCGUGAAGGAAGAAGGCUUUUCGGGUUGUAAACUUCUUUUACCAGGGACGAAGGACGUGACGGUACCUGGAGAAAAAGCCACGGCUAACUACGUGCCAGCAGCCGCGGUAAAACGUAGGGUGCAAGCGUUGUCCGGAAUUACUGGGUGUAAAGGGAGCGCAGGCGGGCAUGCAAGUUGGAAGUGAAAACUAUGGGCUCAACCCAUAGCCUGCUUUCAAAACUGCGUGUCUUGAGUAGUGCAGAGGUAGGCGGAAUUCCCGGUGUAGCGGUGGAAUGCGUAGAUAUCGGGAGGAA